UUAAAUUGAAGAGUUUGAUCAUGGCUCAGAUUGAACGCUGGCGGCAGGCCUAACACAUGCAAGUCGAGCGGAAACGAGUUAACUGACCCUUCGGGUAACGUUAACGGCGUCGAGCGGCGGACGGGUGAGUAAUGCCUGGGAAUAUGCCUU
rnacentral:rRNA from 1 species